GACGAACGCUGGCGGCGCGCUUAACACAUGCAAGUCGAGCGAGAACUAGGGCUUCGGCCCUGGGGACAGCGGCGAACGGGUGAGUAACACGUGGGUAAUCUGCCCUUGACAUCGGGAUAGCCCGGGGAAACCCGGAUUAAUACCGAAUAGCCUCCGGAGCCUUCGGGCGCCGGAGAAAAGGUAGCUUCGGCCUCUGGUCAAGGAUGAGCCCGCGGCGGAUUAGCUUGUUGGCGGGGUAACGGCCCACCAAGGCGACGAUCCGUAGCUGGUCUGAGAGGACGAUCAGCCACACUGGGACUGAGACACGGCCCAGACUCCUACGGGAGGCAGCAGUGGGGAAUCUUGCGCAAAUGCGGGAAACCGUGACGCAGCGACGCCGCGUGGGGAAGAAGCC
rnacentral:rRNA from 1 species